rnacentral:rRNA from 1 species
UAGCUAGUUGGUAAGGUAACGGCUUACCAAGGCGACGAUGUCUAGGGGAGCUGAGAGGCUUAUCCCCCACACUGGUACUGAGACACGGACCAGACUCCUACGGGAGGCAGCAGUGAGGAAUAUUGGUCAAUGGGAGGAAUCCUGAACCAGCCAUGCCGCGUGCGGGAAGAAGGCCCUACGGGUUGUAAACCGCUUUUGUCCGGGAGUAAUAAGGGGGGUGUGCCCCCCGAUGAGAGUACCGGGCGAAUAAGCAUCGGCUAACUCCGUGCCAGCAGCCGCGGUAAUACGGAGGAUGCGAGCGUUAUCCGGAUUUAUUGGGUUUAAAGGGUGCGCAGGCGGCGCGGUAAGUCAGCGGUGAAAUGUCCCGGCUCAACCGGGGAGCUGCCGUUGAUACUGUCGUGCUUGAGUGCGAACGGCGCCGGCGGAAUGUGUGGUGUAGCGGUGAAAUGCAUAGAUAUCACACAGAACACCGAUCGCGAAGGCAGCUGGCGAGGACGCAACUGACGCUGAGGCACGAAGGCGUGGGGAUCGAACAGGAUUAGAUACCCUGGUAGUCCACGCAGUAAACGAUGAUGACUUGUUGCCGGCGAUAGACAGUCGGAGACAAAGCGAAAGCGAUAAGUCAUCCACCUGGGGAGUACGAUCGCAAGGUUGAAACUCAAAGGAAUUGACGGGGGCCCCGCACAAGCGGAGGAGCAUG